UACGUAUGGUGCAAGCGUUAUCCGGAAUGACUGGGUGUGAAGGGAGCGUAGACGGUUGUACAAGUCUGAUGUGAAAGCCCACGGCUCAACUGUGGGAGUGCAUUGGAAACUGUAGAACUAGAGUAUCGGAGAGGCAAGUGGAAUUCCUAGUGUAGCGGUGAAAUGCGUAGAUAUUAGGAGGAACACCAGUGGCGAAGGCGGCUUGCUGGACGAAAACUGACGUUGAGGCUCGAAAGCGUGGGGGGCAAACAGG
rnacentral:rRNA from 1 species